GAUGAACGCUGGCGGUGUGCCUAAUACAUGCAAGUCGAGCGGUAAGGUCUCUUCGAAGAUACACGAGCGGCGGACGGGUGAGUAACGCGUAAGAAUGUACCCCAAAGUGAGGGAUAAGCACCAGAAAUGGUGUCUAAUACCGCAUAUGCUCUUAGGAGUAAAGCUUCGGCGCUUUGGGAACAGCUUGCGUAUGAUUAGCUAGUUGGUAAGGUAAUGGCUUACCAAGGCGACGAUCAUUAGCGGGUCUGAGAGGAUGAUCCGCCACACUGGGACUGAGACACGGCCCAGACUCCUACGGGAGGCAGCAGUAGGGAAUUUUCCACAAUGGGGGCAACCCUGAUGGAGCAACACCGCGUGCAGGAUGAAGGCCUUCGGGUUGUAAACUGCUUUUGUCUGUGACGAAUAUGACGGUAGCAGACGAAUAAGGAUCGGCUAACUACGUGCCAGCAGCCGCGGUAA
rnacentral:rRNA from 1 species